GGAAAUGUGGCUCAGUGGCAGAGUGCUUGCCUAGCAAGCAUGAAGCCCUGGGUAUGAUUCCUCAGUACCA
rfam:Dipodomys ordii contig_40432, whole genome shotgun sequence.